rnacentral:misc_RNA from 1 species
AGAGAANGAANAGUCGUAACAAGGUCUCCGUUCGUGAACCAGCGGAGGGAUCAUUACCGAGUUGUCAACUCCCAAACCCUUAUGUGAACCUACCUAUCGUUGCUUCGGCGGACUCGCCCCAGCCGGACGCGGACUGGACCAGCGGCCGCCGGGGACCAUCAAACUCUUGUAUUAUCAGCAUCUUCUGAAUACGCCGCAAGGCAAAACAAAUAAAUUAAAACUUUCAACAACGGAUCUCUUGGCUCUGGCAUCGAUGAAGAACGCAGCGAAAUGCGAUAAGUAAUGUGAAUUGCAGAAUCCAGUGAAUCAUCGAAUCUUUGAACGCACAUUGCGCCCGCCAGCAUUCUGGCGGGCAUGCCUGUUCGAGCGUCAUUUCAACCCUCGACCUCCCUUUGGGGAAGUCGGCGUUGGGGACCGGCAGCACACCGCCGGCCCUGAAAUGGAGUGGCGGCCCGUCCGCGGCGACCUCUGCGUAGUAAACCAACUCGCACCGGAACCCCGACGUGGCCACGCCGUAAAA